rnacentral:rRNA from 1 species
AGCAGCCGCGGUAAUUCCAGCUCCAAUAGCGUAUAUUAAAGUUGUUGCAGUUAAAAAGCUCGUAGUUGAACUUCGGGGUUUACCCAUUGGUCAGGCUUAAUUGUCUGUACUGGUGAGAUGAAUCUCUACCUUCUGAGGAACUUUCAUGCCGUUUAUUUGGUGUGAUGGGAAAUCAGGACUGUUACUUUGAAAAAUUAGAGUGUUUAAAGCAGGCUAACGUCUGAAUACAUUAGCAUGGAAUAAUGAAAUAGGACGGACUGAUUCUAUUUCGUUGGUUUCUAGGAUCACCGUAAUGAUUAAUAGGGAUAGUCGGGGGCAUUAGUAUUCAAUUGUCAGAGGUGAAAUUCUUGGAUUUAUUGAAGACUAACUACUGCGAAAGCAUUUGCCAAGGAUGUUUUCAUUAAUCAAGAACGAAAGUUAGGGGAUCGAAGACGAUCAGAUACCGUCGUA